UACGGAGGGUGCGAGCGUUGUCCGGAAUCACUGGGCGUAAAGGGCGCGUAGGCGGCCUGAUAAGUAGGGGGUGAAAUCCUGCGGCUUAACCGCAGGGCUGCCUUCUAAACUGUCAGGCUAGAGCACAGUAGAGGCAGGUGGAAUUCCCGGUGUAGCGGUGAAAUGCGUAGAGAUCGGGAAGAACAUCGGUGGCGAAGGCGCUCUACUGGACCACAACUGACACUCAGGGACGAAAGCUAGGGGAGCGAACAGG
rnacentral:rRNA from 1 species